GUUAGCGGCCUGCAAUUUUGAGUAAAUUACGUUUAUCUUAAGUUUUGCAUAUGACAAGCUUCCCAAAAACAAAUGACUUCACGAGGAGGGAUUUAUGUUUUCUCUGCCUUUGGAAAGGAUAGAAAAACUAUUCUUAUCAGAGUCAAUAUACUGUCAGCAGUUGACGAGCUUCAAGGAUCAAAGAACUCAAUGACAUAUUCUGGGGUGAGGUGUGUCAACAUUUGGGAAUUGCCAGUAUAAAACUCCACAAAACAAGGCUUAAACGAGCCUAUUUUCGUCACAGAAAGAAUAAGAUUGCGAGUGCUUCUAGAGUUGCAGAACAAGAAGCAGGCAGCACCAGUAACGUCCAAUCUGAUGGAGGAAGCGAAGCUGAAGCUGAAGCUGAUGCUGGCAGCACCAGUAACGUCCAAUCUGAUGGAGGGAGCGAAGCUGAAGCUGAUGCAGGCAGCACCAGUAACGUCCAAUCUGAUGGAGGGAGCGAAGCUGAAGCUGAAGCUGAUGCAGGCAGCACCAGUAACGUACAAUCUGAUGGAGGGAGUGAAGCUGAAGCUGAUGCUGGCAGCACCAGUAACGUCCAAACUGAUGGAGGGAGCGCAGCUGAAGCUGAAGCUGAUGCAGGCAGCACCAGUAACGUACAAUCUGAUGGAGGGAGUGAAGCUGAAGCUGAUGCUGGCAGCACCAGUAACGUCCAAUCUGAUGGAGGGAGCGCAGCUGAAGCUGAUGCAGGCAGCACCAGUAACGUACAAUCUGAUGGAGGGAGCGCAGCUGAAGCUGAAGCUGAUGCAGGCAGCACCAGUAACGUCCAAUCUGAUGGAGGGAGCGCAGCUGAAGCUGAAGCUGAUGCAGGCAGCACCAGUAACGUACAAUCUGAUGGAGGGAACGAAGCUAAAGCUGAUGCUUGUAACAAUUGCGAUCAUCACAACGCUAACAUAAUAGUUGGCCAGGCCCCGGAGGAUUCAAUUCGACUCCCAAUACUGCAUCGCUGCCUGAGCCAUGUAAUGAAAAAUGCCAAGGACCUUUGCAAAAAACAUGCCCCAAAACAUUACCACCUAGCAAUGCAUACCUUCGGUGCUAUGGCUCAGGCCACAACAAUUGAAGAGCUUGAAGAAAUCAUUGUCAGUGCUGCUGUUGUGUUCUCAAGUUCCCACAGUGGCCAAAAAGUUGACAAACAUUUCAAAAACCUUCAGUUGAUAAUGACACAAGGAGGAAGAACUGACAUUGAGGACUCAUCCAUUGUGGAGCUGGAUUUUAUGAAUGAUGUGGGAGUAACAUCAUUCCAACGAGUGAUUAAGCAGGAGGAAGGAGACAAGGACGGCUGCCUUGUGGACUGGACUACUCUUGGGUGA
rnacentral:lncRNA from 1 species